AGUUGUCAAAAUCCAAGUUGGCUGUCUGUUGGCCAUGUUGUUAUCUGACUGGUCCCAUAAUGAAAUAUGCAUAACUAAGGACCAAGGGCAAUCUAUAUACCAGAUUUAAUAAAGAUCCCUUUAGUUCUUUCUGAGAAAUAGCGAUAACAAACUUCAAUUGUCAAAAUCCAAGAUGGCUGCCUGUCGGCCAUGUUGAUAUCUGACUGGUCCCAAAAUAAAAUAUGCAAAACUACGGACCACGGGCAACCUACAUAUGAAAUGUCAGAGAUAUCACUUAAGCAUUUUCUGAGAAAUAGCAAUAACAAACUUCAAUUGUCAAAGUCCAAGAUGGCUGCCUUUCGGCCAUGUUGUUUUCUGAUCGGUCCCAAAAUGAAAUAUGCAUAACUACAGACCGAGGGGAACCUACAUAUGAAAUUUGAGAAAGAUCCCUACAUGGGAUAGUGUAACUUCAGAGAGACACUUUUACCAAAUAUCAGCACCCUAGUACACUGUACAAUUAUAAAGUGAUGUGUUUAUAGCUUUCAACAUUUGCACAUAUUUUUUAAAAAAUCUGUUUUUUCCCAAAAAAAUCUUUCAUUUUAACUCUGGCAAGGGAUAGUUUAACUACCAAAGGGACCCAAAUACCAUGCAUUACUACGCUUUUCAACAUUCGCAAUGCAAAACUGUUCUAAGACCAAAAAAAAAAAAAGAUUCAAAAAGAAAAAAUCCUAUUUUUUUUUCACUUUGACUUCAGGAAGGGAUAGUCUAACUCCAGAGGGACUCUAAUAAUUGCCAAAUAUCAGCACCCUAGUACAAUUAUAAAGUGAUGUAUUAAUACCUUUCAACACUUGCACCAAAAACUUGACGCAUAAAUAUUCCAAAAAGUCCAAAAAAAUUGAAAAAUCUGUUUUUUUUCCAAAAAAAUCUUUUAGUUUAACUCCAGCAGGGGAUAGUUUAAAGGGACUAUAAAGUUCGAAAACACCAUCAAAAAAUGAUAUAAAACCUUAUUUUUUUUAUGAGUAUGUUACAAAACUAACACUUUCUGUUAAUUACAAAAAUUAAAAGUCACUGCAACCAUUUAUGACCGAUAUCUAAAAAAUAAAGAAUGUAAACAUAGCAGUCUCGAUCUAAUUCAUAAAUUACCGCCUGUAACCUGACACCGUGCAUGCGUAUAAGUUGAGAAAGAAGCAACAUGGCGGAUGUAAACACGUAAAGGCAACAGGGGCAUGAAAGUUACCUCACGGAACGUAUGCCAAAAAGCGUUAGAGGAAGAAGUCAGACCAGAAAAGAGGACAAGUAGUAAUCUAUGUUAGCCAGGAGAUUGAUAGAUGGCAAAAGUUGAAGGAGGAUAUUGGACUGAAUACGGAUUGGGAAUUCGCGAAGCUGUUACUUGACAGGUUAGCUUAACUUCAGCAUAUAAUUCUAGUGUAUCCAAUUGCCGUUGAUUGUAAUCCGGUAACCAGUGUUGAACGAAGCAAAAGGUUGAAAGUACUCAUGCUACCAAAAAGGAGGGCAGCAUCGAUAUAUAUCAUCAAUCCUUUUGAGGGGCGCUAGUUUCCACAUUCGGCGUCUGCUGAAGUUAAAGUUACAGAAGGGUUCGUUACAGAAUAACCGUACGGACGUCGCCGGAGUACGGUCAGACAAGGUAACUAUAAAGAUAUACUUGUUUGAAUAGGCUUACUAUAGCAUUGUACUGUUCUUUGAUAACUUACGGUAUAUUUACACGGCGAGAUACUUUUGACAGGGGCCGUGUAACCUUUAACUGCCCAUAGCUGAUUUUCCCGAUGCUGACGAUGCAAUUUUCAAAGUUCGUAUUUUGAAAAAAAUAUAGCGUGUCAACUUACAUUUAAAUGAUUAACAGGGUCCAAUGUAUACUCCUUUCCAUAAUCACAUGAUUAAAUGAGAAGAAUUUCUUAGCAAACAAACAAAUUAUGAAGUUUUCUUCUUCCGAAGCGAAG